AUAGGGUCAAGUGAAUAAGUGCAUCAGGCGGAUGCCUUGGCGAUGAUAGGCGACGAAGGACGUGUAAGCCUGCGAAAAGCGCGGGGGAGCUGGCAAUAAAGCUAUGAUUCCGCGAUGUCCGAAUGGGGAAACCCACUGCAUUCUGUGCAGUAUCCUAAGUUGAAUACAUAGGCUUAGAGAAGCGAACCCGGAGAACUGAACCAUCUAAGUACCCGGAGGAAAAGAAAUCAACCGAGAUUCCGCAAGUAGUGGCGAGCGAACGCGGAGGAGCCUGUACGUAAUAACUGUCGAGAUAGAAGAACAAGCUGGGAAGCUUGACCAUAGCGGGUGACAGUCCCGUAUUCGAAAUCUCAACAGCGGUACUAAGCGUACGAAAAGUAGGGCGGGACACGUGAAAUCCUGUCUGAAUAUGGGGGGACCAUCCUCCAAGGCUAAAUACUCAUCAUCGACCGAUAGUGAACCAGUACCGUGAGGGAAAGGCGAAAAGAACCCCGGGAGGGGAGUGAAACAGAACCUGAAACCUGAUGCAUACAAACAGUGGGAGCGCCCUAGUGGUGUGACUGCGUACCUUUUGUAUAAUGGGUCAACGACUUACAUUCAGUAGCGAGCUUAACCGGAUAGGGGAGGCGUAGGGAAACCGAGUCUUAAUAGGGCGAUGAGUUGCUGGGUGUAGACCCGAAACCGAGUGAUCUAUCCAUGGUCAGGUUGAAGGUGCCGUAACAGGUACUGGAGGACCGAACCCACGCAUGUUGCAAAAUGCGGGGAUGAGCUGUGGGUAGGGGUGAAAGGCUAAACAAACUCGGAGAUAGCUGGUUCUCCCCGAAAACUAUUUAGGUAGUGCCUCGAGCAAGACACUGAUGGGGGUAAAGCACUGUUAUGGCUAGGGGGUUAUUGCAACUUACCAACCCAUGGCAAACUCAGAAUACCAUCAAGUGGUUCCUCGGGAGACAGACAGCGGGUGCUAACGUCCGUUGUCAAGAGGGAAACAACCCAGACCGCCGGCUAAGGUCCCAAAUGAUAGAUUAAGUGGUAAACGAAGUGGGAAGGCACAGACAGCCAGGAUGUUGGCUUAGAAGCAGCCAUCAUUUAAAGAAAGCGUAAUAGCUCACUGGUCGAGUCGUCCUGCGCGGAAGAUGUAACGGGGCUCAAAUCUAUAACCGAAGCUGCGGAUGCCGGUUUACCGGCAUGGUAGGGGAGCGUUCUGUAGGCUGAUGAAGGUGCAUUGUAAAGUGUGCUGGAGGUAUCAGAAGUGCGAAUGUUGACAUGAGUAGCGAUAAAGCGGGUGAAAAGCCCGCUCGCCGAAAGCCCAAGGUUUCCUACGCAACGUUCAUCGGCGUAGGGUAAGUCGGCCCCUAAGGCGAGGCAGAAAUGCGUAGUCGAUGGGAAACAGGUUAAUAUUCCUGUACUUGAUUCAAAUGCGAUGUGGGGACGGAGAAGGUUAGGUUGGCAAGCUGUUGGAAUAGCUUGUUUAAGCCGGUAGGUGGAAGACUUAGGCAAAUCCGGGUUUUCUUAACACCGAGAAGUGAUGACGAGUGUCUACGGACACGAAGCAACCGAUACCACGCUUCCAGGAAAAGCCACUAAGCUUCAGUUUGAAUCGAACCGUACCGCAAACCGACACAGGUGGGCAGGAUGAGAAUUCUAAGGCGCUUGAGAGAACUCGGGAGAAGGAACUCGGCAAAUUGAUACCGUAACUUCGGGAGAAGGUAUGCCCUCUAAGGUUAAGGACUUGCUCCGUAAGCCCCGGAGGGUCGCAGAGAAUAGGUGGCUGCGACUGUUUAUUAAAAACACAGCACUCUGCCAACACGAAAGUGGACGUAUAGGGUGUGACGCCUGCCCGGUGCCGGAAGGUUAAUUGAAGAUGUGCAAGCAUCGGAUCGAAGCCCCGGUAAACGGCGGCCGUAACUAUAACGGUCCUAAGGUAGCGAAAUUCCUUGUCGGGUAAGUUCCGACCCGCACGAAUGGCGUAACGAUGGCCACACUGUCUCCUCCCGAGACUCAGCGAAGUUGAAGUGGUUGUGAAGAUGCAAUCUACCCGCUGCUAGACGGAAAGACCCCGUGAACCUUUACUGUAGCUUUGCAUUGGACUUUGAAGUCACUUGUGUAGGAUAGGUGGGAGGCUUGGAAGCAGAGACGCCAGUCUCUGUGGAGUCGUCCUUGAAAUACCACCCUGGUGUCUUUGAGGUUCUAACCCAGACCCGUCAUCCGGGUCGGGGACCGUGCAUGGUAGGCAGUUUGACUGGGGCGGUCUCCUCCCAAAGCGUAACGGAGGAGUUCGAAGGUUACCUAGGUCCGGUCGGAAAUCGGACUGAUAGUGCAAUGGCAAAAGGUAGCUUAACUGNNNNNNNNNNNNNNNNNNNNNNNNNNNNNNNNNNNNNNNNNNNNNNNNNNNNNNNNNNNNNNNNNNNNNNNNNNNNNNNNNNNNNNNNNNNNNNNNNNGCGAGACCGACAAGUCGGGCAGGUGCGAAAGCAGGACAUAGUGAUCCGGUGGUUCUGUAUGGAAGGGCCAUCGCUCAACGGAUAAAAGGUACUCCGGGGAUAACAGGCUGAUUCCGCCCAAGAGUUCAUAUCGACGGCGGAGUUUGGCACCUCGAUGUCGGCUCAUCACAUCCUGGGGCUGUAGUCGGUCCCAAGGGUAUGGCUGUUCGCCAUUUAAAGUGGUACGUGAGCUGGGUUUAAAACGUCGUGAGACAGUUUGGUCCCUAUCUGCAGUGGGCGUUGGAAGUUUGACGGGGGCUGCUCCUAGUACGAGAGGACCGGAGUGGACGAACCUCUGGUGUACCGGUUGUAACGCCAGUUGCAUAGCCGGGUAGCUAAGUUCGGAAGAGAUAAGCGCUGAAAGCAUCUAAGCGCGAAACUCGCCUGAAGAUGAGACUUCCCUUGCGGUUUAACCGCACUAAAGGGUCGUUCGAGACCAGGACGUUGAUAGGUGGGGUGUGGAAGCGCGGUAACGCGUGAAGCUAACCCAUACUAAUUGCCCGUGAGGCUUGACUCUAU
rnacentral:rRNA from 1 species